rnacentral:rRNA from 1 species
UGGUAACCUGCCUCAAAGAGGGGAAUAGCCUCCCGAGAGGAGAUUAAUACCGCAUAAUAUGUUUAGGUCGCAUGACUUUAACAUCAAAGGAUUUUCUUAGGAAAUUCCACUUUGAGAUGGACCCGCGGCGCAUUAGCUAGUUGGUGAGGUAACGGCUCACCAAGGCAACGAUGCGUAGCCGACCUGAGAGGGUGAUCGGCCACAUUGGAACUGAGACACGGGUCCAGACCUNUACCGGGGAGG